rnacentral:rRNA from 1 species
CCUACGGGACGCAGCAGUGAGGAAUAUUGGUCAAUGGGCGCAAGCCUGAACCAGCCAAGUCGCGUGAGGGAUGACGGUCCUAUGGAUUGUAAACCUCUUUUGUCGGGGAGCAAGGCCCGCCACGUGUGGCGGGAAGGAGAGUACCCGAAGAAAAAGCAUCGGCUAACUCCGUGCCAGCAGCCGCGGUAAUACGGAGGAUGCGGGCGUUAUCCGGAUUUAUUGGGUUUAAAGGGUGCGUAGGCGGGCCGUUAAGUCAGCGGGAAAAUUGCGGGGCUCAACCCCGUCGAGCCGUUGAAACUGGCAGG